GACGAACGCUGGCGGCGUGCUUAACACAUGCAAGUCGUACGGUAAGGCCCUUUCGGGGGUACACGAGUGGCGAACGGGUGAGUAACACGUGAGUAACCUGCCCACAACUUUGGGAUAACGCUAGGAAACUGGUGCUAAUACUGGAUAUGUGCUCCUGCUGCAUGGUGGGGGUUGGAAAGCUCCGGCGGUUGUGGAUGGACUCGCGGCCUAUCAGCUUGUUGGUGGGGUAGUGGCCUACCAAGGCGGCGACGGGUAGCCGGCCUGAGAGGGUGACCGGCCAUAUUGGGACUGAGAGACGGCCCAGACUCCUACGGGAGGAAGCAGGGGGGAAUAUUGCACAAUGGGCGCAAGCCGGAUGCAGCAACGCCGCGGGCGGGAUGACGGCCUUCGGGUUGAAAACCGCUUUCAGCAGGGACGAAGCUUUUUGUGACGGUACCUGCAGAAGAAGCACCGGCUAACUACGUG
rnacentral:rRNA from 1 species